rnacentral:rRNA from 1 species
ACUCAAAGGAAUAGACGGGGACCCGCACAAGCAGUGGAGUAUGUGGUUUAAUUCGAAGAUACGCGAAAAACCUUACCAGGGCUUGACAUGCAGAGAAUCCCGCUGAGAAGUGGGAGUGCCUUCGGGAACUCUGAUACAGGUGGUGCAUGGUUGUCGUCAGCUCGUGUCGUGAGAUGUUGGGUUAAGUCCCGCAACGAGCGCAACCCUUAUCGUUAGUUGCUAACAUUUAGUUGAGAACUCUAGCGAGACUGCCGUUGACAAAACGGAGGAAGGUGGGGACGACGUCAAAUCAUCAUGCCCCUUAUGUCCUGGGCUACACACGUACUACAAUGGCCGUUAACAACGGGUAGCUAAGCCGCGAGGUGGAGCAAAUCCCCAAAAACGGUCCCAGUUCGGAUUGGAGGCUGAAACUCGCCUCCAUGAAGUCGGAAUUGCUAGUAAUCGCGAAUCAGCAUGUCGCGGUGAAUACGUUCCCGGGUCUUGUACACACCGCCCGU